CAACAAGGGCACACACACACUGCUGGGGGGGGCUGGGUGACGCGGGGAGGGGCGGGGAGGGAACGAAGGAGGAGCAAGGCGAUGGGGGAUGGUGCAGCAUUUACAAGAGGGAUGGGAAACUAGGGAGCAAGGGACGGGUAAGCAGGGGAUGAUAGGAAUGAAGGAAAGACUAAAUAUAUGGCAAGGAGGACAUGAAAGAAAAAACUAGCAAGGCGGUGAGGGAUGGUGCGGCACUUACGAGAGGGGUGAGAAAGUAUGGAGUGAGGGAAGGGAAAACAGGGGAUGAUAGGAUGUAUGGAAAGACUAAAUAUGUGAGGAAAUGAAGGAAAAAUCUAAGUGGUGAGGGAUAGUGGAGUGUUUACAGAGGGACGGAGAGCCAGGACGGGAGUGAACGAAAGGUAGGUGACUGGUUUUGAAUGAAUUGUAUAAAAGGCUUUGCUGAGGAGACUGGAAAGGUUGGAAAAGAGGGAGGAAAUGAAGGAAAAAUCUAAGUGGUGAGGGAUAGUGGAGUGUUUACAGAGGGCCAGAGAGCCAGGACAGGAGUGAAAGAAGGGUAGGUGAGUGGUUUUGAAUGAAUUGUAAAAAGCGCAUUGCUAAGGAAAGGCACAGUACUUUUUGAGGGAGGGCGCAAAGGAAAGAACAAAGUGUGAGGGAUAGUGGAGUGUUUACAGAGGGACAGAGUGUUAGGACAGGAGCGAACGAAGGGUAGGUGAGUGGUUUUGAAUGAAUUGUAUAAAGAGCAUUGCUAAGGAAAGGUACAGUACUUUUUGAGGGAGGGCGCAAAGGAAAGAACAAAGUGUGAGGGAUAGUGGAGUGUUUACAGAGGGACAGAGGACUAGGACAGGAGUGAGAGAGGAUUGAAAAAAUAGUAGAAGAGGAUUAUGAGGAAGUUGAGAUAUAGGUGAGACACAACACGGAUAACAGUGACAUGAUAUGGGUCUGACAGUGCUGGGAAGGUUAACAUGAUAACUACAAGGGGUGAGAUAGAGGUGACAAGUGUGAUAUGAAAGACAACUAAGACAGGUUUGAUGACCCACGGUACUUUUUUUUUUAACAACGAAGGAGACGGCUCAAGGACAACAAAGAGUGUAGAAAAAAACCCUGCAACUCACCGCUCCCACUUAACCCAGUAGCAGCGAAGGGUCAAAUUUGUGGCUUCACCAUGUAGCAGCGAUGGGCCAAAUUUGUGGCUUCACCGUGUAGCUGUGACGGGCCAAAUUUGUGCCAUGAUAUAAACCCCCAAAAAUAGAUGAUACAUAAACUGAUCACAAAUGCUUUGAUAUAUAUUAUGAAAGGGUUUGUGUGAGUGAUGAUUUUUUUUUCAGUUUUCUUGCUUAAAGGGACCAUUAAGAAACAUGAUCCCCGCUGCUACCAGGUUAAACUUGGGUGACCUGAGUUUGACCUACUUCACCUCAUAUAAGAUUAGUUGACCUCGCGGUGAUGCAACAACCAACUUAGCCUUGUUACACAUACAUAGACAGAUAAAAUAGAAUAACUGAGGUAGGAAGGGAUGACGAAAUGAAGUUUUAAGUGGAAAAUAGAAGUGUGAAAGAAAAUUGAACUGUAGGUGAUGAUGAAAUAGAGGACAGUGGAAAAGACAUGAGGCCAGUUUCACAGUUCCCCAUGACGGGUUAGUAAGCUCCCAAACCAAUACAAGAGCCUUCAAAAUUUCCUUGUAUAGUGUCUGGUGUUUAUAUUUAAGUUCACAAAUUUGAAACUACACAGGAAAAGUCUUGUGUAUUUAGUGUGGCAUUGAAGACCUCACCGUUUUGGAUUGUAUGGGAUUCUAUAGUUUGGUUCGGGCUGUUACGAAGACACUGUGUUGGACUGUGAAACUGGCUCAUGAUAUAUAGAGAAGUUGACCUCCCUAAGAUGCAGGACACAACACCUAAGUUCACUGUUACCUAGGUGCUGCUGGCUAACAAAAACGGAUGUGAUGUAACUGCCUAUCUGUCUCCAUUUCACUCAGGGACUGAACCCAAGCUAUCGUAAUUGAAAACCGUAGUUGUUUACAGCUAAGGAGACAGUUCAAGGGCGUAAAGAAAAAUAUAUAAAAAAAGCUCGCUACUCACUGCUCCUGAAUAGAGGUCAAAGGAGUGUCCAAAAAGAGAGGUCAAUUUCGGGAGAUGUGUCCUGAUACCCUCUGCUAACCAAUGCACCACGGAAUACUUCCAAAAUAUGAGAAAUAAAAUGGGAAAUAGGAAAUGAAGGAGCGUUAACAGAAUUGAGAACGUUAAAAAUGUGAAUGAGUAUAAUAAGAAAAUGAAAAUAAAUAGAAAAUGGAAAAUAUAGAAAACAUAUAUCAUGAAGGAUGUGAGGAAUAUAAUUGAGAGAAAAAAAGGUUAAGGAAAUUAGUAUAAAAAAAUAAAGAUAAAGAGAAAAUGGAAACUAUAGAUGAAAGACAAUAUAUAUAAUAAACAUCGAUACAAAACAGGAACUGGAAAAGGAAAGAAACGAAGAAACAGAAGAAACAAAGAAUUAAAGAAAAAUGAAGAUAAGAAGGCAGAGAAAAAGCACAGAUAUACAAAAAAACAAGGAAAUCCAUGAACAGGAACAAGAGAGAGAAUAACACCUGAAUAUUUAAACGUCAUAUUAAGUCUCCAUCAACGACACAGCGGCUGGUUUGUCUUUCUCGGCCCGUUUUUGAAGGCGUAGGAGUGAUGAUUUUUAUAUUAUUUUUGUGACUGAGUUUGUGAUGUUGGCGUAAGGGAGGGAGGGAGGAAGGGGAAGAAAGAAGGAAUGAGGAGAGAAAGUAGAGUAAGAAAAAGGUCUGGAGAGAGAAAGGGAUGGAGGGAAAGAGGAAGGAAGGAAGGGAAGGGAGGAGAAAAA